rnacentral:tRNA from 1 species
GCCGGGGUGGCGGAAUUGGUAGACGCGCCGGAUUCAAAAUCCGGUUCCCUUGCGGGAGUGGGAGUUCGAUUCUCCCCCUCGGCACCA